CUCUACCUCAUUUCUCUAGCUCGAGUUGUUGAUUUGCCUUUUCUAUUUUCAGUGCACAUAGUUCAUGCCACCAUUGCAUUAUAGAUGGAAGAG